UAUUGCACAAUGGGCGCAAGCCUGAUGCAGCCAUGCCGCGGGUAUGAAGAAGGCCUUCGGGUUGUAAAGUACUUCCAGCGGGGAGGAAGGGAGUAAAGUUAAUACCUUUACUCAUUGACGUUACCCGCAGAAGAAGCACCGGCUAACUCCGUGCCAGCAGCCGCGGUAAUACGGAGGGUGCAAGCGUUAAUCGGAAUGACUGGGCGUAAAGCGCACGCAGGCGGUUUGUGAAGUCAGAUGUGAAAUCCGCGGGAUCAACCUGGGAACUGCAUCUGAUACUGACAAGCUUGAGUCUCGUAGAGGGGGGUAGAAUUCCAGGUGUAGCGGUGAAAUGCGUAGAGAUCUGGAGGAAUACCGGUGGCGAAGGCGGCCCCCUGGACGAAGACUGACGCUCAGGUGCGAAAGCGUGGGGAGCAAA
rnacentral:rRNA from 1 species